AACGAACGCUGGCGGCGUGGAUAAGACAUGCAAGUCGAACGGGGCAAAGAGGUAGCAAUAUCUCGAUGUUCAGUGGCGAACGGGUGCGUAACACGUGAGCAACCUGCCUGAAGGUGGGGGAUAGCCCGGGGAAACUCGGAUUAAUACCGCGUGCGAUCCCGCAGGACAUCCUGCGGUGAUUAAAGGUGGCGCAAGCUGCCGCUUUCAGAUGGGCUCGCGGCCUAUCAGCUUGUUGGCGAGGUAAUGGCUCACCAAGGCAACGACGGGUAACCGGCCUGAGAGGGGGACCGGCCGCACUGGGACUGAGACACGGCCCAGACUCCUACGGGAGGCAGCAGUGGGGAAUGUUGCACAAUGGGCGCAAGCCUGAUGCAGCAACGCCGCGUGAGGGAUGACGGCCUUCGGGUUGUAAACCCCUUUUAGCAAGGAAGAAGCGAAAGUGACGGUACUUGCAGAAAAAGCGCCGGCUAACUACGUGCCAGCCGCCGCCGUAAAAC
rnacentral:rRNA from 1 species